GAGCAACGCCACCGUCGACCCCAGCGCGGCGGGCCCGGGCCCCAGCGGAGGGCCGGGCGGCGGCGGCACCGAGGUCAUCCAGGUGACAAACGUCUCCCAGAGCGCGAGCUCCGAGCAGAUGCGGACGCUGUUUGGGUUCCUGGGCAAGAUCGACGAGCUGCGCCUCUUCCCGCCGGAUGAGUCACCUUUGCCAGUCUCAUCUCGUGUCUGCUUUGUUAAGUUCCAUGAUCCGGACUCAGCAGUUGUGGCACAGUAUCUGACAAACACUGUAUUCGUUGACAGAGCUUUGAUAGCCGUACCAUAUGCAGAAGGAGUUAUUCCUGAUGAGACUAAGGCUUUGUCUCUGUUGCCACCAGCUAAUGCAGUGGCAGGUCUUCUGGCUGGUGGUGGACUCCUGCCUACUCCUAACCCACUUACCCAGAUUGGCGCUGUUCCACCGGCUGCUUUGGGAGCUCCCACUCUUGAUCCUGCCCUUGCUGCACUUGGGCUUCCUGGAGCUAACUUGAACUCUCAGUCUCUUGCUGCAGAUCCGUUGCUGAAGCUUAUGAGUACUGUUGAUCCCAAGUUGAGUCAUGUGGCUGCUGGUCUUGUUUCACCAAGUCUGAAAUCGGAUACCUCUAGUAAAGAAACAGAGGAAGCUAUGAAGAGAGUCCGAGAAGCACAGUCCCUGAUCUCUGCUGCUAUAGAACCAGAUAAAAAAGAAGAAAAAAGAAGGCAAUCAAGAUCAAGAUCACCUUCUAGGAGGAGAAGGACUCCCUCAUCUUCAAGACACAGGCAGUCAAGAAGCAGAUCAAGGAGGCGAUCCCCUUCUAAGUCCAGGAGUAGGCGACGAUCCAAAAGUCCAAGACGGGGAAGAUCUCAUUCCAGAGAGAGAGGUAGAAGGUCAAGGAGCACAUCAAAAACCAGAGACAAAAAGAAAGAAGACAAAGAAAAGAAACGUUCCAAAACACCACCAAAAAGUUACAGCACAGCCAGACGAUCUAGAAGUGCGCGCAGAGAGCGACGACGCAGAAGCAGCAGGAGUGGAACAAGAGCUCCUCAGAAGCUUCGGUCUCCUGAGAGAAAAUGAUCUCGCUCACCAUCGCCAAGGCGACACAAAAAAGAGAGAAAAAAAGAUGAAGACAAAGAAAGACGUAGAGAUGAAAGAGAACGGUCAACGAGCAAGAAGAAGAAGAGUAAAGAUAAGAAAAAGGACCGGGAAAGAAAGUCAGAGAGUGAUAAAGAUGUAAAACAGGUGACACGGGAUUACGAUGAAGAGAAGCAGGGGUAUGACAGCGAGAAAG